rnacentral:rRNA from 1 species
CGAACGGGUGAGUAAUACAUCGGAACGUGCCCAGUCUGGGGGAUAACUACUCGAAAGAGUAGCUAAUACCGCAUACGAUCUGAGGAUGAAAGCGGGGGACCUUCGGGCCUCGCGCGAUUGGAGCGGCCGAUGGCAGAUUAGGUAGUUGGUGGGAUAAAAGCUUACCAAGCCGACGAUCUGUAGCUGGUCUGAGAGGACGACCAGCCACACUGGGACUGAGACACGGCCCAGACUCCUACGGGAGGCAGCAGCG